AUUGAACGCUGGCGGCAGGCCUAACACAUGCAAGUCGAACGCGAAAGUCCCUCGGGAUGAGUAGAGUGGCGGACGGGUGAGUAACGCGUAGGAAUCUGUCCGGUAGUGGGGGAUAACGUUCCGAAAGGAACGCUAAUACCGCAUACGCCCCACGGGGGAAAGGGGGGGAUCCUUCGGGACCUCCCGCUAUCGGAGGAGCCUGCGUCGGAUUAGCUAGUUGGUAGGGUAAAGGCCUACCAAGGCGACGAUCCGUAGCUGGUCUGAGAGGAUGAUCAGCCACACCGGAACUGAGACACGGUCCGGACUCCUACGGGAGGCAGCAGUGGGGAACAUUGCGCAAUGGGCGAAAGCCUGACGCAGCCAUGCCGCGUGUGUGAAGAAGGCCUUCGGGUUGUAAAGCACUUUCAGUGGGGAGGAAAGGGGGAUGGCGAAUACCCAUCACCGGUGACGCUACCCACAGAAGAAGCACCGGCUAAUUCCGUGCCAGCCGCCGCAGUAAAAC
rnacentral:rRNA from 1 species